rnacentral:SRP_RNA from 1 species
GCCGGGUGUUGUGGCGGGCACCUGUAGUCCCAGCUACUUGGGAGGCUGAGGCAGGAGAAUGGCAUGAACCCAGGAGGUGGAGCUUGCAGUGAGCCGAGAUCACACCACUGCACUCCAGCCUGGGUGACAGAGCAAGAUUCUGUCUCAA